AGUGAACGCUGGCGGUAGGCCUAACACAUGCAAGUCGAACGGCAGCACAGUAAGAGCUUGCUCUUACGGGUGGCGAGUGGCGGACGGGUGAGGAAUACAUCGGAAUCUACUUUUUCGUGGGGGAUAACGUAGGGAAACUUACGCUAAUACCGCAUACGACCUACGGGUGAAAGCAGGGGAUCUUCGGACCUUGCGCGAUUGAAUGAGCCGAUGUCGGAUUAGCUAGUUGGCGGGGUAAAGGCCCACCAAGGCGACGAUCCGUAGCUGGUCUGAGAGGAUGAUCAGCCACACUGGAACUGGGACACGGUCCAGACUCCUACGGGAGGCAGCAGUGGGGAAUAUUUGACAAUGGGCGCAAGCCUGAUCCAGCCAUACCGCGUGGGUGAAGAAGGCCUUCGGGUUGUAAAGCCCUUUUGUUGGGAAAGAAAAGCAGCAGGUUAAUACCCCGCUGUUCUGACGGUACCCAAAGAAUAAGCACCGGCUAACUUCGUG
rnacentral:rRNA from 1 species